GGCCUGGUAGCCAAGUAGCAAGGCAUUCCUCUGCAAAAGGAAUAUACGCGGGUGCGAUUCCCGCCCAGGCCU
rfam:Candidatus Nomurabacteria bacterium RIFCSPHIGHO2_02_FTLL_42_19 rifcsphigho2_02_scaffold_2367, whole genome shotgun sequence.